rnacentral:rRNA from 1 species
GAUGAACGCUAGCGAUAGGCUUAACACAUGCAAGUCGAGGGGCAGCAUGGUCUUAGCUUGCUAAGACUGAUGGCGACCGGCGCACGGGUGCGUAACGCGUAUGCAACUUGCCUCACAGAGGGGGAUAACCCGUCGAAAGACGGACUAAUACCGCGUACACUUGGGAUAGGGCAUCCUGACCCAAGGAAAUGAAAUUCGCUGUGAGAUAGGCAUGCGUCCCAUUAGCUAGUUGGUGAGGUAACGGCCCACCAAGGCGACGAUGGGUAGGGGAACUGAGAGGUUGAACCCCCACACUGGUACUGAGACACGGACCAGACUCCUACGGGAGGCAGCAGUGAGGAAUAUUGGUCAAUGGGCGAGAGCCUGAACCAGCCAAGUCGCGUGAAGGAUGACUGUCUUAUGGAUUGUAAACUUCUUUUAUACGGGAAUAACAAGAGCCACGUGUGGCUCCCUGCAUGUACCGUAUGAAUAAGCAUCGGCUAACUCCGUG